UACAGAGGGUGCGAGCGUUACUCGGAAUUAUUGGGCGUAAAGGGCGCGUAGGCGGUUUCGUGCGUCAGAGGUGAAAUCCCCGGGCUUAACCCGGGAACUGCCCCUGAUACGGCGAGACUUGAGUCCGGGAGAGGGGAGCAGAAUUCCCAGCGUAGCGGUGAAAUGCGUAGAUAUUGGGAGGAAUACCAGUGGCGAAGGCGGCUCCCUGGACCGGUACUGACGCUGAGGCGCGAAAGCGUGGGUAGCAAACAGG
rnacentral:rRNA from 1 species